rnacentral:rRNA from 1 species
AACGAACGCUGGCGGCAUGCCUAACCAUGCCAGUUGAACGAGACCUUUGGGUUUAGUGGGGCCCGGGUGGGUAAAGCGGGGGAAACUGGCCUUUGGUUUGGGAUAAACUCCCGAAAGGGGUGCUAAAACCGGGUAAUGUUCUCGGACCAAAGAUUUAUCGCCUUUGGAUGGGCCCGGGUUGGGUUUGGCAGUUGGUAGGGUUAAAGCCUACCAAGGCGACGAUCCAUAGCUUGUCUGAGAGGAUGAUCAGCCACACUGGGACUGAGACACGGCCCAGACUCCUACGGGAGGCAGCAGUGGGGAAUAUUGGACAAUGGGCGAAAGCCUGAUCCAGCAAUGCCGCGUGAGUGAUGAAGGCCUUAGGGUUGUAAAGCUCUUUUACCCGGGAUGAUAAUGACAGUACCGGGAGAAUAAGCGCCGGCUAACUCCGUG